UACGUAGGGUGCGAGCGUUGUCCGGAAUUAUUGGGCGUAAAGAGCUCGUAGGCGGUUUGUCGCGUCUGCCGUGAAAACCCGAGGCUUAACCUCGUGGCUUGCGGUGGAUACGGGCAGACUAGAGGUAGGUAGGGGAGAAUGGAAUUCCCGGUGUAGCGGUGAAAUGCGCAGAUAUCGGGAGGAACACCGGUGGCGAAGGCGGUUCUCUGGGCCUUACCUGACGCUGAGGAGCGAAAGCGUGGGGAGCGAACAGG
rnacentral:rRNA from 1 species